CUUACUAAUAAGAAAUGUAAGUUGUUAAACAAUGGAGAAACGUUCAUCCAUGGAAUAUUGUGAAGGCUCUUUAUGUGACGAACAUCCUUGAUAAUACCACUACUUAACAAGUUAAGGAAAGUUUCCAGCAUCAUGGAGAACUGACAAAGGUGGACAUGCCACCUUCGAAAUCUGGGAUUAGCGAACGAGAUUUUGGAUUUGUUCACUAUGCUGAAAGGUCAAGCGCAUUGGCUGUCAAAGAUUCUGAGAAAUGAAAUUGACAGUAAACAUCUUUGGACUUUCUCUGGGGAAUGUGGGGCAAGAAAUUGAAUUGGAUCUCUGUUUAUCUGUUGUCUUCAGAUGCACAUAGUCUGCAACUACUGCUUCUGUGAGGCCACGCAAUGAUAAUGUUUAGGGUUUGUUUAAUCAAUUUAGGAAUAGCACAAAUCUUUAUUCUUAGGAAUUUCUGUGGGUUGUCCGAUGCUGAGUAAGCCACUUAGAAAAGCUCUAGGUGUGACAGUAAGAUGCAACUACGUCUGUCUCAACAGAACAAUUGAUUCCUGAGGGCUGUGCUUCCUCUUUGUGGUGGAUAAUUUUGAAUGGCUUUUCAUGGCUUGGAACAUAGGAGUAUUAAUUUGUUGGCGAAGCUGUCACCCUUGUUGGCUUAAUAAUAAACUUGUGAACUAUACUUGCCUC